rnacentral:rRNA from 1 species
AGGAUGAACGCUGGCGGUCUGCUUAACACAUGCAAGUCGAACGGGCGUAGCAAUACGUUAGUGGCGGACGGGUGAGUAACGCGUGAGAAUCUACCUUCAGGACGGAGACAACAGUUGGAAACGACUGCUAACCCCCGAUGUACCGAAAGGGCAAAUAUUUAUAGCCUGAAGAAGAGCUCGCGUCCGAUUAGCUAGUUGGAGAGGUAAAAGCUCACCAAGGCGACGAUCGGUAGCUGGUCUGAGAGGACGAUCAGCCACACUGGGACUGAGACACGGCCCAGACUCCUACGGGAGGCAGCAGUGGGAAUUUUCCGCAAUGGGCGAAAGCCUGACGGAGCAAGACCGCGUGGGGGAAGAAGGCUCUUGGGUUGUAAAACCCCCUUUUUCUCUGGGAAGAACGCAAUGACGGUACCAGAGGAAUCAGCAUCGGCUAACUCCGUGCCAGCAGCCGC